UCGAGAAUUUUUCACAAUGGGCGAAAGCCUGAUGGAGCGACGCCGCGUGGGGGUUGAAUGGCUUCGGCCCGUAAACCCCUGUCAUUUGUGACCAAACCUUCCGAUCUAAUAAGUCGGAAGCUGAUGGUAGCGGAAGAGGAAGGGACGGCUAACUCUGUGCCAGCAGCCGCGGUAAUACAGAGGUCCCAAGCGUUGUUCGGAUUCACUGGGCGUAAAGGGUGCGUAGGUGGUCGGGUAAGUCUGAUGUGAAAUCUCCGAGCUUAACUCGGAAAUGGCAUUGGAUACUAUCUGACUGGAGGGUUGGAGGGGGGACUGGAAUUCUCGGUGUAGCAGUGAAAUGCGUAGAUAUCGAGAGGAACACCAGUGGCGAAGGCGAGUCCCUGGACAACUCCUGACACUGAGGCACGAAAGCUAGGGGAGCAAACAG
rnacentral:rRNA from 1 species